GUUUCCGCCCCUUAGUGCUGCAGCUAACGCAUUAAGCACUCCGCCUGGGGAGUACGACCGCAAGGUUGAAACUCAAAGGAAUUGACGGGGGCCCGCACAAGCGGUGGAGCAUGUGGUUUAAUUCGAAGCAACGCGAAGAACCUUACCAGGUCUUGACAUCCUUUGACCACUCUGGAGACAGAGCUUUCCCUUCGGGGACAAAGUGACAGGUGGUGCAUGGUUGUCGUCAGCUCGUGUCGUGAGAUGUUGGGUUAAGUCCCGCAACGAGCGCAACCCUUGAUUUUAGUUGCCAGCAUUUAGUUGGGCACUCUAAAGUGACUGCCGGUGCAAGCCGGAGGAAGGUGGGGAUGACGUCAAAUCAUCAUGCCCCUUAUGACCUGGGCUACACACGUGCUACAAUGGAUAGUACAAAGGGUCGCGAAGCCGCGAGGUGGAGCUAAUCCCAUAAAACUAUUCUCAGUUCGGAUUGUAGGCUGCAACUCGCCUACAUGAAGCCGGAAUCGCUAGUAAUCGUGGAUCAGCAUGCCACGGUGAAUACGUUCCCGGGCCUUGUACACACCGCCCGUCACACCACGAGAGUUUGUAACACCCGAAGUCGGUAGGGUAACCUUUAUGGAGCCAGCCGCCGAAGGUGGGACAGAUAAUUGGGGUGAAGUCGUAACAAGGUAGCCGUAUCGGAAGGUGCGGCUGGAUCACCUCCUUUCUAAGGAA
rnacentral:rRNA from 1 species